GGCUCCGAUGGAUAGCCGGCCUGAGAGGGCGAUCGGCCACACUGGGACUGAGAUACGGCCCAGACUCCUACGGGAGGCAGCAGUAGGGAAUAUUGCGCAAUGGACGAAAGUCUGACGCAGCAACGCCGCGUGGGUGAUGAAGCAUCUUGGUGUGUAAAACCCUGUCAGUGGGGAAGAAACUCAUCGGGAAUAACUGCCCGAUGCCUGACGGUACCCACAGAGGAAGCACCGGCUAACUCCGUGCCAGCAGCCGCGGUAAUACGGGGGGUGCAAGCGUUGUUCGGAUUUACUGGGCGUAAAGGGCGCGUAGGCGGACCGUCAAGUCGGAUGUGAAAACUAGCAGCUUAACUGCAAGCCUGCAUUCGAUACUGUAGGUCUUGAGUACAGUAGGGGAAAGCGGAAUUCCAGGUGUAGCGGUGAAAUGCGUAGAUAUCUGGAAGAACACCGGUAGCGAAGGCGGCUUUCUGGACUGAUACUGACGCUGAAGCGCGAAGGCUAGGGUAGCAAACAGGAUUAGAUACCCUGGUAGUCCUAGCGGUAAACGAUGGGUACUAGAUGUCGGGGGUAUCGACCCCCUCGGUGUCGCAGCUAACGCAUUAAGUACCCGCCUGGGGAGUACGAUCGCAAGGUUGAAACUCAAAGGAAUUGACGGGGGCCCGCACAAGCGGUGGAGUAUGUGGUUUAAUUCGAGUCAACGCGAAGAACCUUACCUGGGUUUGACAUGCUUGGGACCGUCUGUGAAAGCAGGCUUUCUCUUCGGAGACCCUUGCACAGGUGCUGCAUGGCUGUCGUCAGCUCGUGCCGUGAGGUGUUGGGUUAAGUCCCGCAACGAGCGCAACCCUUGUCCAUAGUUGCCAUCAGGUAAUGCUGGGGACUCUAUGGAAACUGCCGGUGAUAAGCUGGAGGAAGGUGGGGAUGACGUCAAGUCCUCAUGGCCCUUAUACCCAGGGCUACACACGUACUACAAUGGCCGGUACAGAAGGUGGCAAGACCGCGAGGUGGAGCUAAUCCCCAAAGCCGGCCCCAGUUCGAAUUGGAGUCUGCAACUCGACUCCAUGAAGGCGGAAUCGCUAGUAAUCGCUGAUCAGCAGGCAGCGGUGAAUACGUUCCCGGGCCUUGUACACACCGCCCGUCAAGCCACGGAAGUUGGGAGCACCCGAAGUCGUUUGCCUAACCGCAAGGAAGGCGGCGCCUAAGGUGAAACCGAUGACUGGGGCUAAGUCGUAACAAGGUA
rnacentral:rRNA from 1 species